GGACUAAUUCUAUAUUUGUUCCUUCCAGAUAAGGGGAAAAAAGGAUGUGAAAGAAUAUAUUUUUCUUCUUAGUUGAUGAAUCUCAUUUAUUGAUCAAUAUGUGAUAUUCCAACUCCUCAUCACUACUGAAAUCCAUAUGAUAUUGCGAUUUAUUCGUUUUUGCCUAAACUCAAUUACUCAAACAAAACAAGAUCUUCAUUCUUUAUUUGUUUUUUUCCUUUUCACUAUUUUAACUGAGUAAAUAUCAUUUCUUAAUGCAUUUGGUUAAUUUUGGGGUUUCACUUGCACGCAAUACCCUAUACCGAAGGAGACAAGUACCAUGGCCCAAAAGCAACUCUCAAUGUUUGGUAACCUAAAAUACAACAGCAUCAUAACGAGUUCAAUUUGUCCCAAAUUUGGUUACUGGGUGGUUCAUUUGGUGAAGAUCUCAAUAGCAUUAAAGCUGGUUGGUAGGUAUAUUUUUCUCCAAAUUACUCGGUCGAUCAUAAUUUGUUGCAUUCAUCUAACGGAUUAGAAUGCAUGUUAUUUCAAGUUAGCCCUGAUCUCUACGGGGAUAAAAACAUAACCAUUUUUUAAUACAUACCUAUAGACAAUUUAAAAAAGAAUGCCAGCUCAUAUUAAAUAGAAGUUAAUUAUAAGUACAAAAACUCAAAGAAAGCAUUUAAUGGAGGUUCUUAAUAGUUAGUCUUGUGUUUUGGAACAUGCUUAUAUUAUGUGACAAUUAUGCUUCUAUUCCAAUCCAAUUUAGCACAUAGAAUAAAAUCUUCAAUUGGCACCCGAUGUCGGAUGUCAAUGAUAACUGGAGCUAAUUGGUUAUAUGUAGAGGAAAUUUUACUAUUAGUUCAUCUCAAGCAUAAAUAAAAUAGUUAAUUCCUAAGCAAGUUGGAGUAUAGUACGAAUCAUGCUGUAAAUUUCUCUGUGAAAAUGAUUUUCUUAUAUUUGUAGUUUUUUUUCAUGGGACAAGCUUUGAGAAAUCGUUUGGCAAUGAUGAGAGAAGAGAAAGAAAAUCCGAUUUUUGAGAAUUCUUAAAAUGAAAGAACGACGAGAAUCGAUUCCCUAAAAAAGAAAGCACUGAACGUGUCUUCAAAGUCAAGCAUAGAGUGGUGUUAGUGGCAACUUUGUUUCAUUUGAGGAAAUUCGAGAUGCUAAUGAGCUGCAAGCUAUUAAGGCAUUUCGACGAGCCUUGAUGCUAAUUGCCAAACAAGUUUGAUGAUUAUCAUAUGAUGUUGAGUGAUCAGAAUUCUUCGAUGGAACAUAUAUCUUUGUAGACUAAGGGGUUUGCCUUCGGUUAGAUAAAGGACCAUGAAAAAUUCCCCGAGAUACAAAAGGUUCUUCCUAACAUGGGAGCUAUUAAAUUGAUCUACAAAGAUAAUAUAUAAAUACUUGUCUUAUAAUUUUGAUCAUGUUAAAAAAUAAUAAAUGGCUCGAAAUCAUGUUGCAGAUAGUGCUUGAUGGUGAAGUACGACUGCCAGGAAGGUGGUUGAAAAUCUUAACAACGACGGAGAGAUAGUUUAUGCUAAGCCCCACUACUAGAUUGUAUAGACUAUGUCUGUUGUGCAUAUGAUUAGGCACAACUACACAAUAUUUCUGUUUUAUGUGAGAUUUUGUUUUUAUUUGGUCGUUGAAGCAGGUAAAAGGCAGUGACACCUCAACUGUUGAAUUUGGUUCUGAAGCUGAAGAUAUUUCUUUCACCAAAACCUAUUAGGAGUUACUCGCAUCUUUGAUUGACUCCUGUUUGUGAGGAGUUAAAGCUAAUGGAAACUCUAGCUUGGUAACUUAUCACGAUAUGAUGAGUAUAUUCCUAUGGUUGACAAAGUUGUUGAUUCUGGAUGGAAAAAGCAGACAUCACUUUCAAAACCUUAUAUUUUUAAAGACCUAGGGGCUAUCCUUUUCUUCGGUUGAACUCAUCUUUCUGUCAUUGCAAACGUCGCCUUAGGUGCUCAUUUUUAUUCUUACAACUCUCAUCAUAUGGUGAUCAUGUUUAGAGGUUAUCUAUGAUUAACUUAUGAUUGUUCUUUUGUUAAUAGCUAUGCCUUAAUAACCUUUUGUUAUAUCCUGAUAUUAAAUGACUGCUAUAUUGGAGAUAUAAGAUUAGCUAUGUCUAAAUAAGAUUACAAUGACACUAGAUUAGUAACUAUUUUUUGAUUGCAUAGUAUAUUAUUUUUCCUCUCUUUGAUUUUUAUAUCUAUAGGUAUAAGAUAAAAGAAAAGGAAAAAAUUGUUCAGGCAUAUUCUUCUUAGGAUCUUGAAGAAAUUUUUAGCUCUGGUAGAAUAAGAGGAUGCUUGAUAAACCCAUUCGAGAAAUUGGAAGGAAAAAGACUAUUUACAAGCACAAGAAAAGAAAUUGAUCGUGGAGAUAAAAAAAAAAAAAAAUGUAAAGCAAGGGCAGAUGGUAAGUUGUUCUCUAUAGAUAAUUUCAUUUCAGUUUCUUAGACUUUAUGGCUCUCUUUUCCCCCAUAGGCCCCAUCUGCCUUAUUGCCCAGGUUACUCCCAUAAAGACAUUUUGGAAUUUUUUUUUGAUCAGAUUGAUUUUAAAGAUAGAUUCAUUAAUGAUAAUUUAGUGAAUUUUCAUCUUCAUUAUAUGAACCAUCUAGAAGAAACAAGUUGUCCAAAUUUAAAGCUUAAAUAACAUAAGUGAAAGGGGUAAUGUUGGACAAUAUUGAGAAAGUACAACAAGAGGCAUCAAAGCCCAAGCACAAGAAGCCGAUACUGGAGUUGUGAAAGAGACCUUCCUACAAGCCUUUUGGUCCACAAACUUCGGCAUGAUUGCAAAUCUAUUUUAAAGUUUCUUAAAUGAAAAUUCAAUUGCUAUUAUUUCUUGUAGUUAUUCAACCUGCUUCAACCUACUUUCUUGUUAUUGAAAUUAGUUUAAAAGCAUCGAUAUCUUCUUCCCAAUUUUUUGAUUUCUCUAUCACGCCUUGGAGAUA